rnacentral:rRNA from 1 species
CUACGGAGGGUGCAAGCGUUAUUCGGAAUCACUGGGCGUAAAGGACGCGUAGGCGGGUUGGCAAGUCAGAUGUGAAAUCCUACAGCUUAACUGUAGAACUGCAUUUGAAACUGCUAACCUAGAGUAUGGGAGGGGGAGAUGGAAUUAGUGGUGUAGGGGUAAAAUCCGUAGAUAUCACUAGGAAUACCGGAAGCGAAGGCGAUCUCCUGGAACAUAACUGACGCUAAGGCGUGAAAGCGUGGGGAGCAAACAGGAUUAGAAACCCUAGUAGUCC